CACAAAAACAAAAACAAACAGACAUGAAAUAAAGUUGCGGAAGAAUGUGCUUUUUGGGCGCCAUUAUGAUUGCACUCUUACACACACACACACACACACAUGUACGUGCCUUUUCUCGCACCUCUCUUUGCAGUCGCUUUCUUUGACCACUCACGCAUCGCACUCUCUCUCCCGCUCUGACCUACGCCGCAGAGUUGGGGGGCCGCCGCCACCAGUCAAUUCUAACCUCAAAAACUGGUCUAUGCACAGUUGGCUUCUCGUUUACCGAAAGUACCGUUUGACAGUGCGUUUAAUACGAGUUCUAUUUUCUGAGCCCGACAGCCAGUAAUUCAUUUUAUGAGUCGCUGACGUCGGCGUCGCAGUCAAUGGCCUCGCGGCCGAUGGUGAAGCUCGAGGACGAGCCGCACAACUAACGGCAAAACAAAUGCACUGACAAACAACGAAACGACUAUGAUAAGGAGGGAGAGAAGUGUGGCAGGGGCUAUUGGCGCCUACCUUGGCUAUCCCGUUCGUCCCGCUUCUACUUGCACUUGCACUUCCACUGCUGCUGCUGCUGCGUCGCUGCUGCUGCCUCCUCUGCUGGCGUUCGUGUGUGCUGCACUCUCUGCUUCUUCUUCUCUUUCUUCCUUACUUUCGCUCAAUUCGACUGAAAACAUAGAAUUUUUUUCAAAUCGUUUAAUUGGAUUGAUUCACAGUUUUCUUUGUUUUUUUUACACAAGACUUGUUUUUGGACUGGCGCCCCGCGCUUCACCUCAUCCGCAGAGGCACACUCAUGCACAGGCACACAAACACACUCACAUUUUUUGGGCCACACGCAAGCGCAACAUAUUUACGCAAUGGUAUUAACAAUUAUAAUACAUUUCUUCAUUUGUUAAAGCCAUUAAAAUCAUAUGAGUAAUGGUUAAUCAUUCGAUAAACUACAUUUGUUGUAUA